rfam:Clostridium difficile 630 complete genome
UGGAUGGUAUCUUGUUAUAAGAACUAUACUUUAAAUGUUUUUAAUUAUUUUGUCUUAUGUAACUCAUAUCCUCAGGAAUGAGAUUAGAAA